rnacentral:rRNA from 1 species
AUGGCGUCUCUGCUCCGCCUCCAGGCCCUCUUCUCCCUUACGCUGGCCACUCCCCGCCGUCUCCCAUCCCAUCUCCGCUGUGCCGCAGCAGUUGCGUCUCCGCUCCCUCGCCGCCUCCCUGCUGCCGCCUCGAACGGCUCGCCGGAGCAGCGGGCCUCGGAAACGGAUUUGGAGUCGGGGUUGUAUCUAGUGGCGACACCCAUAGGGAACCUCGAGGAUAUCACCUUGAGGGCAUUGCGUGUUCUGAAAUGUGCUCAUGUGAUACUCUCUGAAGACACAAGGCAUUCUGGAAAGUUACUUCAGCAUUACAACAUCAAAACACCUCUUCUCAGCUUCCAUAAGUUCAACGAACGAGAGAGAGAGCCCAUUAUCUUAAAGAGGCUCCAUGAAGGGGAAGCAAUUGCAGUGAUUAGUGAUGCUGGUACUCCAGGCAUCAGUGACCCUGGCAUGGAGCUGGCUAGACUAUGCGCGACUGAAAAAAUCCCUGUUAUUCCCAUUCCUGGGCCUUCUGCAGCAAUUGCCGCUCUUUCUGCAUCGGGUUUGCCAACAGAGGAAUUCACAUUUGUGGGUUUCUUACCAAAGCAUGGUCGAUCAAGAAAAGCCAGGCUUGAGGUAUCUGCUCGUGAGGCUGUGACACAAAUAUUCUAUGUUCCUCCUCAUGGAAUUCAUCAGUUUCUUCUUGAUGCUGCUUCAUCUUUUGGCGAUUCAAGGUACAGGUCAUGUGUUAUUGCAAGGGAGAUUACCAAAUUGCAUGAAGAGUUUUGGCGAGGAACCCUAGGCGAAGCAAAUGAAGCCUUUGCAUCUCGACAGCCAAAGGGAGAAAUCACCAUCCUCAUAGAUGGGAACUCAGUUUCAAUUGAUGAAACACCAUCUGAUGAUUUUCUUGAGCAUGAACUCAGAGAAUUGAUGGCAAAAGGGCAUGCUCUUUCAACGGCGGUGAAAUUGGUGGCCGAAGCUACAUCAGCAAAGAAGAAAGAUGUUUAUGCACUAGCACUGAGGGUGUUUGGAAAAUGA